rnacentral:lncRNA from 1 species
CAAGCAUGACAACAAGUUUCUCGCUGCAGCGAGAAACAUUAUUGGUUUGCAUAUGUUUCAGUUUUUCAAGUAUAUCUCCCACUACAGAAGUCCAAUUGACAUUAUUUAAUCAUUAUAAAGAUAAGAGGCUAGGCUACAACUUUUAUGUUUACCACUUUUCCCGGUUCUGAAUGAAAGGUGGUCAAAAUCGUUGUCAAAGUGGAAGCACUGCACUAGAAUUUUGGAACCACCCAAGAGUU